rnacentral:snoRNA from 1 species
UGCAAUCCUUGAUGCAAGAAUUCCCAUUUCCUGAAUCAUUAUGAUUAUUACAACAAAAAUCACCAUCUUUCGGCUGAGAUUGCG